GACCCUACGCAGUGCACCCCUCUGAAAGAGACAUAGCACUCGGGGCCCCCAGCAUCCCUCCUCCCAAAGUUAGCCUAAUUUUUUCCCUUCCGUGGAUUCAGGUCAUUGCUCCCCGUCCUCGUCCUCUCUCCCAGGCGCCUCGGAAUGUGACUAAUUCCCUCCCUUCAUUUACGGCUCCUGUUACCUGGGAGGUAUUUAUAGCUCUUCGGCCUGUCUCCCUCUCCUGCGACUCAGCUGCAACUCCCCCAGGCCGACUCUCCCCACUCGACCAUCUUUGCCUCCCUUCUCAGGUCUGUCACCUCUUACCCAGCCUCCCACCUUGCAACCUCCCUGACAGGAUAGAGUGGGGCUGGCUGCGAGGGGCCAGGGCCUUUUGGAAGACAGGGAGGCUAUCUGCCAGACAUAUGCCCCUCCCUUCAUGAGCACCCCCAGAAACCCGGGGGCCAGAGAAAGGUGACUGUCUCCUCUCUGUUACCUCAACAUGCAGUCUGAUACUAAUACCAAUAGCAAGCAA
rnacentral:lncRNA from 1 species